GACGAACGCUGGCGGCAUGCUUAACACAUGCAAGUCGAACGAAGUGGCGAACGGGUGAGUAAUACGUGGGUCACCUGCCCUCCUUUUUGGGAUAAGCCUUGGAAACGGGGUCUAAUACCGAAUAAAGGGGGAUGGGCUCGCGGCCGAUCAGCUUGUUGGUGGGGUGGUGGCCUACCAAGGCGGUGACGGGUAGCCGGCCUGAGAGGGUGACCGGCCACAUUGGGGAUGAGAUACGGCCCAGACUCCUACGGGAGGCAGCAGUGGGGGAUAUUGAACAAUGGGCGAAAGCCGGAUGCAGCGACGCCGCGUGGGGGAUGAAGGCUUGCGGGUUGUAAACCUCUUGCGCUAUCGAACGGGUAGGUGGAGAAGAAGCGCCGGCUAACGCCGUGCCAGCCGCCGCGGUAAUUCC
rnacentral:rRNA from 1 species